rnacentral:rRNA from 1 species
UACGGAGGGUGCGAGCGUUGUCCGGAAUCACUGGGCGUAAAGGGCGCGUAGGCGGCAUGCCAAGCGUGUGGUGAAAGCCCGGGGCUCAACCCCGGGUCGGCCGUGCCGACUGUUGGGCUAGAGUACUGUAGGGGCAGGCGGAAUUCCGGGUGUAGCGGUGGAAUGCGUAGAGAUCGGCAGGAACACCCAGGGGGAAACCAGUCGACUGGGCAGCACCUGACGCUGAGGUGCGAGAGCGUGGGGAGCGAACCGG